rnacentral:rRNA from 1 species
CGGGGUGAGUAAUGUCUGGGAAACUGCCUGAUGGAGGGGGAUAACUACUGGAAACGGUAGCUAAUACCGCAUAACGUCUUCGGACCAAAGUGGGGGACCUUCGGGCCUCACGCCAUCGGAUGUGCCCAGAUGGGAUUAGCUAGUAGGUGGGGUAAUGGCUCACCUGGGCGACGAUCCCUAGCUGGUCUGAGAGGAUGACCAGCCACACUGGAACUGAGACACGGUCCAG